rnacentral:sRNA from 15 species
GCUGAGCCUUGGUUUUGUUUCAUAUUUUCAGGGAUGCCGGGCUUUGGUAUUGGAUCCCUCCUAAAACAAUCAUAAGGCACGAUGGAGGAUAUUAUAGAAAUAAAACAUACAGUUACAUUAUCCCUGGAUGGUGGGAAAGAAACAAAACCCAUUGCGCACUUGUGGAUGAGGACAAUAUUACUGUAGCCCUUGGGUAUAGUAAGAAGUCAAAAGAUUAUUGUGGCAUUUAUUCGUGCGUAUGGCAUAUAGGAAAAACACAUGGCCACCUUAUCUACUGCCAACAGCCAGCCACUUUCGCCGAGUGCGAGACGAAUGGUAUAAACACGGUACUGGAGUAUCCGGAAUGUUGUUGGAAAUGCGUAGAAUAUAAAGAUUGUUAGCUCUGAGGGGCUGAAUCCUAUCGAAAAUUAUCUGACAAAGUGAAAGAAACUUAGUUGGCUAAAAUGCAGAUACAAAUAAAAACGAAAUAAUUGUUACGUUA